GCAUCUGAAUCUUUCCCGCUCCUUGCUGUGAGGUGCAGGCCCGGGGACAUGGGAUGCUAAAGCAAAGCUGAGCAAAUCCAGGCAAGUUCNUUAUUUUUCAGAGUAACUUGUCUCUACAGCUCUGCGACAUAG
ensembl:snoRNA